rnacentral:rRNA from 1 species
GAUGAACGCUGGCGGCGUGCCUAAUACAUGCAAGUCGAGCGAAAAGACUAGAGGUUUGCUCCUCUGACGUGAGGGGGGGGCGGGUGAGUCACAUAUGGAUCACCUAACUAUAAGAGUGGGAUAACUUGAAAAAAAUGCUAAUACUACCGACUAAUAUAUUGAACCAGGAGGUUCACUAGUGAAAGACGGUUUUGAUGUGACCUUGAGAUGGAUUCGCUCAGCAUUAGCUAAUUGGUAAGGUAAAGGCCUAACAAGGUGGCGGUUGGUAGCCGGCCUGAGGGGGGGGCCCGCCACACUGGGACUGAGAACCGGCCCAGACUCCUACGGGAGGCAGCAGUGGGGAAUAUUGGCCAAUGGGCGCAAGCCUGAUCGAGCCAUCCCGCGUGUGUGAAGAAGGCCUUACGGUUGUAAAACCCUUUUAGUGGUGAGGAAGAAAGUUUGGAUAAAAUCCAAACAUUUUGACGGUACCUAAUCAGAAAGCCACGGCUAACUCCGUG